GGUGAGGUGCCGGAGUGGUCGAACGGGGCGUUCUCGAAAACCGUUGUGGGUACAAACCCACCCAGAGUUCGAAUCCCCGUCUCUUCACCG
rnacentral:tRNA from 1 species